rnacentral:snoRNA from 1 species
GCCCUGUGGUUGCUGGACACUGGUUUGUCCCUGCAGUGCUCCAGUUGGUAGCAGUGGGCCGACAGUGAUCCUGUGACUUACGCGUGGAGCCUGUGACAUGUGAGCAGCUUCCACAGCCCUGUCACAGGAACAUUU